CUGGUUGACAAUGGCGGUAAUCUCCCGGUGUAAGACUUCUCCUUGUUGAUCGGCGGCUGUUGUCAGUUUCCCGUAAUUCGUUUCUAACUCGGCUUUCUCACUUUGGACAUUAGACACCAUUUUUUCAUAUCGGGGAAUGAGUUGAGUGGAAUAAUGAACUUCCAGAUGUCUAUGUACACGUGUAUGAAUAAACUCUGUUGUACUCGCGCGUGCGAGCUUAUAUCCUA